UCGGGAAUUUUGGGCAAUGGGCGAAAGCCUGACCCAGCAACGCCGCGUGAGGGAUGAAGUAUUUCGGUAUGUAAACCUCGAAAGAAUGGGAAGAAUAAAUGACGGUACCAUUUAUAAGCUCCGGCUAACUACGUGCCAGCAGCCGCGGUAAUACGUAGGGAGCAAGCGUUGUUCGGAUUUACUGGGCGUAAAGGGCGCGUAGGCGGCGCGGUAAGUCACUUGUGAAAUCUCUGAGCUUAACUCAGAACGGCCAAGUGAUACUGCUGUGCUAGAGUGCGGAAGAGGCAACCGGAAUGCUUGGUGUAGCGGUGAAAUGCGUAGAUAUCAAGAGGAACACCUGAGGCGAAGGCGGGUUGCUGAGCCGACACUGACGCUGAUGCGCGAAAGCCAGGGGAGCAAACG
rnacentral:rRNA from 1 species